GUUAUAGGGUCAAGCGAAUAAGUGCAUGUGGUGGAUGCCUUGGCGAUCACAGGCGAUGAAGGACGUAGUAGCUUGCGAAAAGCUGCGGGGAGCUGGCAAACGAGCUUUGAUCCGCAGAUGUCCGAAUGGGGAAACCCGGCCCGUAUGGGUCAUCCCUUGCUGAAUACAUAGGCAAGGGAGGCGAACGCAGUGAACUGAAACAUCUAAGUAGCUGCAGGAAAAGAAAUCAACCGAGAUUCCCAAAGUAGUGGCGAGCGAAAUGGGAACAGCCUGUACUCUUUAGCAGUAUUGUUAGCGGAACGGAAUGGAAAGUCCGGCCAUAGUGGGUGAUAGCCCCGUACGCGAAAACAGUAUUGUGGAACUAGGUGUACGACAAGUAGGGCGGGACACGUGAAAUCCUGUCUGAAGAUGGGGGGACCAUCCUCCAAGGCUAAAUACUCGUGAUCGACCGAUAGUGAACCAGUACCGUGAGGGAAAGGCGAAAAGAACCCCGGGAGGGGAGUGAAAUAGAUCCUGAAACCGCAUGCAUACAAACAGUCGGAGCCUGGAAACGGGUGACGGCGUACCUUUUGUAUAAUGGGUCAGCGACUUACAUUCAGUGGCAAGCUUAACCGAUUAGGGAAGGCGUAGCGAAAGCGAGUCCGAAUAGGGCGUUCAGUCGCUGGGUGUAGACCCGAAACCAAGUGAUCUAUCCAUGGCCAGGUUGAAGGUGCGGUAACACGUACUGGAGGACCGAACCCACUAACGUUGAAAAGUUAGGGGAUGAGCUGUGGAUAGGGGUGAAAGGCUAAACAAACUUGGAAAUAGCUGGUUCUCUCCGAAAACUAUUUAGGUAGUGCCUCGUGUCUCACCUUCGGGGGUAGAGCACUGUCAUGGUUGGGGGGUCUAUUGCUGAUUACCCCGCCAUAGCAAACUCCGAAUACCGAAGAGUGCAAUCACGGGAGACAGACAUCGGGUGCUAACGUCCGGUGUCAAGAGGGAAACAACCCAGACCGCCAGCUAAGGUCCCUAAGAUUGGCUAAGUGGGAAACGAAGUGGGAAGGCUAAAACAGUCAGGAGGUUGGCUUAGAAGCAGCCACCCUUUAAAGAAAGCGUAAUAGCUCACUGAUCGAGUCGUCCUGCGCGGAAGAUGUAACGGGGCUAAGCCAGUCACCGAAGCUGCGGAUGCACGUAAGUGCAUGGUAGGAGAGCGUUCUGUAAGCCUGUGAAGGUGUCUUGUAAAGGAUGCUGGAGGUAUCAGAAGUGCGAAUGCUGACAUGAGUAGCGAUAAAGGGGGUGAAAGGCCCCCUCGCCGUAAGCCCAAGGUUUCCUACGCAACGUUCAUCGGCGUAGGGUGAGUCGGCCCCUAAGGCGAGGCAGAGAUGCGUAGCUGAUGGGAAGCAGGUUAAUAUUCCUGCACCGUCGUAUGAUGCGAUGGGGGGACGGAUCGCGGAAGGUUGUCCGGGUGUUGGAAGUCCCGGUCCCUACAUUGGAGAUGGCACUUAGGCAAAUCCGGGUGCGUGAUUCAAGGGUGUGGGGCGAGCGACGUUAGGUCGCGAAGCAAUUGGAAGUGGUUCCAAGAAAAGCCUCUAAGCUUCAGUCAUACGAGACCGUACCGCAAACCGACACAGGUGGGCGAGAUGAGUAUUCUAAGGCGCUUGAGAGAACUCGGGAGAAGGAACUCGGCAAAUUGGUACCGUAACUUCGGGAUAAGGUACGCCCUUGUAGUUUGACUGGCUCGCGCCAGAAGGAUGAAGGGGUUGCAAUAAAAUGGUGGCUGCGACUGUUUAAUAAAAACACAGCACUCUGCAAACACGAAAGUGGACGUAUAGGGUGUGACGCCUGCCCGGUGCCGGAAGAUUAAAUGAUGGGGUGCAAGCUCUUGAUUGAAGUCCCGGUAAACGGCGGCCGUAACUAUAACGGUCCUAAGGUAGCGAAAUUCCUUGUCGGGUAAGUUCCGACCUGCACGAAUGGCGUAACGAUGGCCACACUGUCUCCUCCCGAGACUCAGCGAAGUUGAAGUGUUUGUGAUGAUGCAAUCUCCCCGCGGCUAGACGGAAAGACCCCAUGAACCUUUACUGUAGCUUUGCAUUGGACUUUGAACCGAUCUGUGUAGGAUAGGUGGGAGGCUUUGAAACCGGGACGCUAGUUUCGGUGGAGCCGACCUUGAAAUACCACCCUGGUUUGUUUGAGGUUCUAACCUUGGCCCGUGAAUCCGGGUCGGGGACAGUGCAUGGUAGGCAGUUUGACUGGGGCGGUCUCCUCCCAAAGUGUAACGGAGGAGUUCGAAGGUACGCUUGGUACGGUCGGACAUCGUACCUAAAGUGCAAUGGCAAAAGCGUGCUUAACUGCGAGACCGACAAGUCGAGCAGGUGCGAAAGCAGGACAUAGUGAUCCGGUGGUUCUGUAUGGAAGGGCCAUCGCUCAACGGAUAAAAGGUACUCUGGGGAUAACAGGCUGAUACCGCCCAAGAGUUCAUAUCGACGGCGGUGUUUGGCACCUCGAUGUCGGCUCAUCUCAUCCUGGGGCUGUAGCCGGUCCCAAGGGUAUGGCUGUUCGCCAUUUAAAGAGGUACGUGAGCUGGGUUUAAAACGUCGUGAGACAGUUUGGUCCCUAUCUGCCGUGGGCGUUGGAAUCUUGACGGGGGCUGCUCCUAGUACGAGAGGACCGGAGUGGACGUACCGCUGGUGUACCUGUUGUCUCGCCAGAGGCAUCGCAGGGUAGCUAUGUACGGAAGAGAUAACCGCUGAAAGCAUCUAAGCGGGAAACUCGCCUGAAGAUGAGGAUUCCCUGGAGACUUGAUCUCCCUGAAGGGUCGUUCGAGACCAGGACGUUGAUAGGCUGGGUGUGGAAGCGCAGUAAUGCGUUCAGCUAACCAGUACUAAUUGCCCGUGCGGCUUGAUCCUAUAACC
rnacentral:rRNA from 1 species